GAGUUUGAUCCUGGCUCAGGACGAACGCUGGCGGCGUGCUUAACACAUGCAAGUCGAACGGUGAUGUCAGAGCUUGCUCUGGCGGAUCAGUGGCGAACGGGUGAGUAACACGUGAGUAACCUGCCCCCGACUCUGGGAUAACUGCUAGAAAUGGUAGCUAAUACCGGAUAUGACGAUUGGCCGCAUGGUCUGGUCGUGGAAAGAAUUUCGGUUGGGGAUGGACUCGCGGCCUAUCAGGUUGUUGGUGAGGUAAUGGCUCACCAAGCCUACGACGGGUAGCCGGCCUGAGAGGGUGACCGGCCACACUGGGACUGAGACACGGCCCAGACUCCUACGGGAGGCAGCAGUGGGGAAUAUUGCACAAUGGGCGAAAGCCUGAUGCAGCAACGCCGCGUGAGGGAUGACGGCCUUCGGGUUGUAAACCUCUUUUAGUAGGGAAGAAGCGAAAGUG
rnacentral:rRNA from 2 species